UCUUUAGGGCUAGUGGUUAGGCCUUGGUGCCCUCACCGCUGGAGCCUCGGUUCGAUUCCCAGCCAGGGAA
rnacentral:tRNA from 1 species